UCGGUGCUUGCACCAAGAUUCAACAUGGAACGAGUGGCGGACGGGUGAGUAACACGUGGGUAACCUGCCCUUAAGUGGGGGGAUAACAUUUGGAAACAGAUGCUAAUACCGCAUAGAUCCAAGAACCGCAUGGUUCUUGGCUGAAAGAUGGCGUAAGCUAUCGCUUUUGGAUGGACCCGCGGCGUAUUAGCUAGUUGGUGAGGUAAUGGCUCACCAAGGCGAUGAUACGUAGCCGAACUGAGAGGUUGAUCGGCCACAUUGGGACUGAGACACGGCCCAAACUCCUACGGGAGGCAGCAGUAGGGAAUCUUCCACAAUGGACGCAAGUCUGACGGAGCAACGCCGCGUGAGUGAAGAAGGCUUUCGGGUCGUAAAACUCUGUUGUUGGAGAAGAAUGGUCGGCAGAGUAACUGUUGUCGGCGUGACGGUAUCCAACCAGAAAGCCACGGCUAACUACGUGC
rnacentral:rRNA from 1 species